UACGGGGGGGGCAAGCGUUGUUCGGAAUUACUGGGCGUAAAGGGCUCGUAGGCGGCCAACUAAGUCGGACGUGAAAUCCCUCGGCUUAACCGGGGAACUGCGUCCGAUACUGGAUGGCUUGAGUGUGGGAGAGGGAUGCGGAAUUCCAGGUGUAGCGGUGGAAUGCGUAGAGAUCCGGAAGAACACCGGUGGCGAAGGCGGCCUGCUGGGCAGUUGCUGACACUGAGGCGCGACAGCGUGGGGAGCAAACAGG
rnacentral:rRNA from 1 species